rnacentral:rRNA from 1 species
GGCUCAGGAUGAACGCUGGCGGUAUGCCUAACACAUGCAAGUCGAACGAUGUCUUCGGACAUAGUGGCGGACGGGUGAGUAACGCGUGAGAAUCUGCCUCUAGGAUGGGGAUAACGGUUGGAAACGACCGCUAACACCCAAUAUGCCGUAAGGUGAAAAAUUUAUUGCCUGGAGAGGAGCUCGCGUCUGAUUAGCUAGUUGGUGGGGUAAGAGCUCACCAAGGCUUCGAUCAGUAGCUGGUCUGAGAGGAUGAGCAGCCACACUGGGACUGAGACACGGCCCAGACUCCUACGGGAGGCAGCAGUGGGGAAUUUUCCGCAAUGGGCGAAAGCCUGACGGAGCAAUACCGCGUGAGGGAGGAAUGCCUUUGGGUUGUAAACCUCUUUUCUCAGGGAAGAAGAUCUGACGGUACCUGAGGAAUAAGUAUCGGCUAACUCCGUGCCAGCAGCCGCGGUAAUACGGAGGAUGCAAGCGUUAUCCGGAAUCAUUGGGCGUAAAGCGUCCGCAGGUGGUUUCCAAAGUCUGCUGUUAAAGACUGGAGCUCAACUCCGGAACGGCGGUGGAAACUUGGAAACUAGAGUUCGGUAGGGGUAGCAGGAAUUCCCAGUGUAGCGGUGAAAUGCGUAGAUAUUGGGAAGAACAUCGGUGGCGAAGGCGUGCUACUGGACCGUAACUGACACUCAGGGACGAAAGCUAGGGGAGCGAAAGGGAUUAGAUACCCCUGUAGUCCUAGCUGUAAACGAUGG